rnacentral:rRNA from 1 species
UACGAAGGGGGCUAGCGUUGCUCGGAAUCACUGGGCGUAAAGGGUGCGUGGGCGGGUUUUUAAGUCAGGGGUGAAAUCAUGGAGCUCAACUCCAGAACUGCCUUUGAUACUGAAGAUCUUGAGUCCGGGAGAGGUGAGUGGAACUGCGAGUGUAGAGGUGAAAUUCGUAGAUAUUCGCAAGAACACCAGUGGCGAAGGCGGCUCACUGGCCCGGUACUGACGCUGAGGCACGAAAGCGUGGGGAGCAAACAGG